rnacentral:rRNA from 1 species
CCUACGGGGGGCGGCAGUGAGGAAUAUUGGUCAAUGGGCGCGAGCCUGAACCAGCCAUCCCGCGUGCAGGAUGACGGCCCUACGGGUUGUAAACUGCUUUUCUACUCCAAGAAACCUGGUUACGUGUAAUCAGUUGACGGUAGAGUAGGAAUAAGCAUCGGCUAACUCCGUGCCAGCAGCCCCGGUC